CAUCCUGUUUCCUCUGCACACUGCUGCCUCUGUUCUCCUCAGUUGGGAGACACCUAUCACCACCACUCGUCUCCUCCUCCUCUGGGAAGGGCAGGAAUCAUUCGAUAUGCUGUGCCUUCCAAAGCCUGCUUGGAGUGCUCUAAGGUCUGCACCUGCUGCUCUUGAGUCUUCCCCUCUUGUCUAUUGGAGCUUAUUUUGAUAUCGUGAGGAUAAGUUACAAAGGCAGGAAUCAUAUGGUUUGAGUACUUCCUACAACUUCCUCUCGGCUGGCCAUCUCCAGAGUGCAAUUCUCUUUCUCCAACAUUGUCUCCAUGGAAGAUAGUAACAAACUCCAAAGGAAAAUUCAGAUGACUAUGUUUAAAAAUGUGUAGGGAGCAUUUGUGAAGAUGAAUGGUCAACCAGGAAGGGUGAACUGAUCACCCUUUUCUCAUCCCCAGGCUGCUCUUCCACCUUCCAUGAUGACAUUCUAAUAUUCUCCUCGCCCCUUCCUCACAUUCUGCAGGGUUACCAUAGAGACAGCAGGAAACAACUUUGCACCAUCACUAUUCCGUUGCCCAUUUCUUACCGGACGUCGUUCAGUGAUUCACUUUCUUAUCAUGCCUUUCUCAACCAAGGACAAACAGCAGGAGCCCAAGAACUGGAAAUAUGCGGAGGUGUAUAAAGGAGUUGGUGGCACAAUGACUGCCACCCCCACAACGCCCACACUUCCUUUGCUGAUGGGAUGAACUGUGAAAGUGGCCAAGAGUACCACUAUUCCUACAAGCACUCAGAAAUGAAAUUCAGGAGCAUGUCA